CCCCUUUCUUAUAGUCCAAUCAGAGGCUUUGUUUACAAAUGUAAACAAAUGUAAACAAAUCCUUUGAUUGGACUAUAAGAAAGGGG